UACAACACUACAAACAUUCAACCGACACACCCAGCCAAGGGUCACUGCAACGAGCGGAGAAGAGCAAGUGUGUUUAGAGGUAAACCCGAGCCACUACACCAGGAAUAUAUCCAGAACUACAGAUCAUCCCGAAACUGCGUUAUCCAGAUCUCCAUCUGACCGACGUGUAUCAAUCCGCAUCAUCGAGCUUUCCAGAUCAACACACAGAUCACAUCGUCAACACACAGAUCACAUCAUGAACACACACUGAACACACUCAUACCCCUCCCGCUGCUGGAGCGCCAUAGCCCUGGAAGUUCAUCCUGACCGAGAGAUUCUCCGGGACGAGUGAGUGGAGGAGU